UACGUAGGGUGCGAGCGUUGUCCGGAAUUACUGGGCGUAAAGCGCGUGUAGGCGGCUAAGUAAGUCGGGCGUGAAAUCCCACGGCUCAACCGUGGAAGUGCACUCGAAACUGCAUAGCUAGAGUCCUGGAGAGGAAGGUGGAAUGCUUGGUGUAGAGGUGAAAUUCGUAGAUAUCAAGCGGAACACCGGUGGCGAAGGCGGCCUUCUGGACAGUGGACUGACGGCUGAGACGCGAAAAGCGUGGGGAGCAAACAGG
rnacentral:rRNA from 1 species